CUUCACCCUAGCGUCGCGGCCUCCUUGCUCUGUCUCUCUCGGACGGAAAUCUGAACCUCACCGUUGCUCCGCAAGCGAAAAUCGGAAGCUCGCCGUUGCUUGCUCAUCCUAGCUCGCUAUCGUCGUUGCUCGAAGAGUUGAGGCCUCGCGUUUGCCGUUGCUAUCGUGCUCGGAAAUCUGAAGCCUCAACCUAGCCGACGCCUUAACCUUGCUCGGAGACUCACUCCCUCGCUCACCCCGUAGGCUUAGUUGUUGCAAGUGCCUUUGUGUUGUGCUUGCCUCUCACUUUAUGAUUGAGUGGCUUUCCAUGGAGCUACCGGCAAACAUCUUUUGCAUGGACUGGCUUAUGACAAUGAUCACACCAUUUGCCAUUUCUUUUCCCUCUACUGCCAUCUCUUUGGAAUCCUUCGGAGAGCAUAGCUCCAGAUUCAGCUUCAGUAGAAUGUGGCUGUUUGAUUGAGCCUCCCAUGCCUCUUGUGCUGACUGGAACUGAGAAAUUGGCGCUGAUUUCAAUGGUCACUGAAUUCACCAUCUAUGAUUGAAUAAUCAA